CCUACGGGAGGCAGCAGUGAGGAAUAUUGGUCAAUGGCCGGAAGGCUGAACCAGCCAAGCCGCGUGAAGGACGAAGGUGCCAAGCAUUGUAAACUUCUUUUGUCAAGGGACAAAAUCAGGCUCGAGAGCCUGACCGAGGGUACUUGAAGAAAAAGCAUCGGCUAACUCCGUGCCAGCAGCCGCGGUAAUACGGAGGAUGCGAGCGUUAUCCGGAUUUAUUGGGUUUAAAGGGUGCGUAGGCGGGCUGUUAAGUCAGCGGUAAAAGCCCGGGGCUCAACCCCGGCAAGCCGUUGAAACUGGCUGUCGUGAGAUGUCGAGAGGUAUGCGGAAUGCGCAGUGUAGCGGUGAAAUGCUUAGAUAUUGCGCAGAACUCCGAUUGCGAAGGCAGCAUACCGGCGGCGAUCUGACGCUGAGGCACGAAAGCGUGGGUAUCGAACAGGAUUAGAUACCCGGGUAGUC
rnacentral:rRNA from 1 species